rnacentral:rRNA from 1 species
AUUGAACGCUGGCGGCAUGCUUUACACAUGCAAGUCGAACGGCAGCGCGGGCUUCGGCCUGGCGGCGAGUGGCGAACGGGUGAGUAAUACAUCGGAACGUGCCCAGUAGUGGGGGAUAGCUCGGCGAAAGCCGGCUUAAUACCGCAUACGACCUGAGGGUGAAAGCGGGGGAUCUUCGGACCUCGCGCUAUUUGAGCGGCCGAUGGCAGAUUAGCUAGUUGGUGGGGUAAAGGCCUACCAAGGCGACGAUCUGUAGCUGGUCUGAGAGGACGACCAGCCACACUGGGACUGAGACACGGCCCAGACUCCUACGGGAGGCAGCAGUGGGGAAUUUUGGACAAUGGGCGAAAGCCUGAUCCAGCAAUGCCGCGUGUGUGAUGAAGGCCUUCGGGUUGUAAAGCACUUUUGGCGGGAACGAAAAGGACUGUGCCAAUACCACGGUUCGAUGACGGUACCCGCAGAAUAAGCACCGGCUAACUACGUG